rnacentral:tRNA from 1 species
GCGGGCGUGGCGGAACUGGUAGACGCGUCGGCCUUAGGAGCCGGUGACUUCGAGUCGUGCGGGUUCGAGUCCCGCCGCCCGCA